GUAGGUGGCAAGCGUUGUCCGGAAUUAUUGGGCGUAAAGCGCGCGCAGGUGGUUCUUUAAGUCUGAUGUGAAAGCCCCCGGCUCAACCGGGGAGGGUCAUUGGAAACUGGGGAACUUGAGUGCAGGAGAGGAAAGUGGAAUUCCACGUGUAGCGGUGAAAUGCGUAGAUAUGUGGAGGAACACCAGUGGCGAAGGCGACUUUCUGGCCUGUAACUGACACUGAGGCGCGAAAGCGUGGGGAGCAAACAGGGAUUAGAUACCCUGGUAGUCCACGCCGUAAACGAUGAGUGCUAAGUGUUGGGGGGGUUUCCCGCCCCUCAGUGCCCGCAGCUAACGCAUUAAGCACUCCGCCUGGGGAGUACGGUCGCAAGACUG
rnacentral:rRNA from 1 species